rnacentral:sRNA from 1 species
UUGCCGCCAUUCCGCCACCAAGGCCAG